AUUCGUUAAAAACGUUUAAUUUAAUAUUCAAUAGUAAAAAUUCAAACUGCGUUUAACAGUUCCACAAUGAAUUAACGUUGUGGUAUCCGGUCUAUGGUCUAUAUUCCAUUGAAGUUCAUUGCCAUAAAAAUUUUUUUGCUGGACACAGGUACUUCAGACAAUCAAAUUGUGAUGUACCAUUCGGAGUGAUCGUCUAACGGUGCUCAAUCGGAACAGUCGCCACAUGACCUGUUUAGCCGAAGUCGACCAUUUGCUUCGAAGUGAUUCUUCCACGACCAACUUUCUCGAACCCACACAAUUAGAUACACGAUAAGCGUAUUAAUCGACACCAGCUUUUUUUUUGAGCGAUUUUCAAAUCGUGCGGAAUCCAACGAGAACAAACCCUUUUACGGCAAGGUGUUCAUGCAAUAUCGAAUGUAUGUUGGUGGAAGAAAUGCCCAAGAAUGCCUUUAUCGCAUAGCGUGUCACAUGACGACCUUGCAUCAUAAGUUCAUGCAAGGCAUCAAUGGUCUCUGGACAACAGUCGUUUUUGGACAACUUCCACGGAAUUCGACUUUGAGCGAGCGUCGACCACAACUGAAUUCAUUAAACCAGUUUUCACAUUGCUAUAGGAUGGUACUUCAUCGCCAUACAAAGAUUUUGUAUGGCGUUAUAAUCUACGUCGAAAGUUGUGAGAAAUGGUCGCAUGAAUGUUCACGAAUUAAUUAAAAAAUUAAGUUUUUCAAAUCUCUGUAAACAACACAAAUGAUGGGUGUGCAUCAAAACGUUCUGAGUACGACUAUGGCAAAAAAUUUCAAACAUUUCAAUGGAAAUGUCAGAUUGCCACUGGCAACACUUAGUGUUGCUUAGGCCUGAAACUAAUAUAGUAGCCUUGUAUAAACAUUGUUAGUAUUCGUAUGUAUACUAAGAAUUACUAACUAAUUUGGUUAACCCAUGCCCGCCCAUCCGUUAUUUUAUUUAUUUUUAUUUAUACACGCAAAAACUAAUUCGUUUCACAUAAAUGUAACAUUCGACAAGUAAAAUU